GCCCUCUUAGCUCAGGGGAUAGAGCGACUGCCUCCGGAGCAGUAGGCCGCAGGUUCGAAUCCUGCAGAGGGCACCA
rnacentral:tRNA from 1 species